AGCAGCCGCGGUAAUUCCAGCUCCAAUAGCGUAUAUUAAAGUUGUUGCAGUUAAAAAGCUCGUAGUUGAAUUUCGGGAUCAAAUUGUCGGUCGUGCCUCGGUACGCACUGGCGUUAUUGGUUCCUCCCUUCUGAAGAACCGCGAUGUCAUUAAUUUGGUGUCGCGGGGAAUCAGGACUGUUACUUUGAAAAAUUGAGUGUUUAAAGCAAGCUCGCGCUUGAAUACAUUAGCAUGGAAUAAUGAAAUAGGACGUUUGAUUCUAUUUUGUUGGUUUCUAGGAUCGACGUAAUGAUUAAUAGGGAUAGUU
rnacentral:rRNA from 1 species